UUGAUGAACAUUGCAAACGAAACUAAGAAAACUCAGCUCAUGAAGAGCUUGGAUUGUCUCCUCCAGUUGGUUAAAGGAAAGCUACCGGGAAGGCAGAUUUGUUGACGAGUUGCCUUACAUACUAAAUGAUGAUGACUACAUAUCGAAGUAUCGAGCCAGCCUAAAAAGCUGCAGUUCUCAAGGCAAAAGCAUGUUUUGAGCUUUAUUGAAGG